rnacentral:rRNA from 1 species
CUAAAUACUACCCAGUGACCGAUAGCGUAUAGUACUGUGAAGGAAAGGUGAAAAGCACCCCGGGAGGGGAGUGAAAGAGAACCUGAAACCCUGUGCCUACAAGCACCUAGAGCGCGUCAAAGCGUGAUAGGGUACUUUUUGUAGAACGGUCCGGCGAGCGAUUGUAUGCAGCAAGGUUAAGGACUUAAGGUCUGGAGCCGAAGCGAAAGCGAGUUUGAAAAGGGCGUUAAGUUGCAUAUAAUGGGCCCGAAACCGGGUGACCUACCCAUGGUCAGGUUGAAGUGGAAGUAAAAUUCCAUGGAGGACCGAACCGACCUCCGUUGAAAAGGCGGCGGAUGAACUGUGGGUAGCGGAGAAAUUCCAAUCGAACCCGGAGAUAGCUGGUUCUCCCCGAAAUAGUUUUAGGACUAGCCUCAAGUUAGAUACCUGGAGGUAAAGCACUGAAUAGCCUAGCGGCCGAGAGGUUAGCGAAGCUUAUCAAACUCAGAAUGCCAGAGUAUUGAUGCUUGGGAGUCAGACAGUGUCAGAUAAAUGUCAUUGUCAAAAGGGAAACAGCCCAGAUCUACAGCUAAGGUCCCAAAGUCAGGUUAAGUGGAAAACGAUGUGAAGAUACGUAGACAACCAGGAUGUUGGCUCAGAAGCAGCCACACAUUCAAAGAGUGCGUAAUAGCUCACUGGUCGAGCGUCUUUGCGCGGAGAAUUUAACGGGGCUAAACCUGACACCGAAGCUUAGGCAAUCCAGCAAUGGAUUGGGUAGGGGAGCGUUGUAUACGCGGAGAAACAGUAGCGUGAGCGGCUGUGGAGUGUAUAGAAGUGAGAAUGCCGGAAUGAGUAGCGCGAAUGCAGUGAGAAUCUGCAUGGCCGAAAGCCUCAGGUUUCUGGAGGAAGGUUCGUCCGCUCCAGGUUAGUCGGGAGCUAAGGUGAGGCCUAACGGCGUAGCCGAUGCACAGACGGUAGAGAUUCCGUCACCACCAAAAGAGUUAAGCACAGGGACACAUUUGAAGUCUCGGAGCCGGGUGUUGGUUCCGGUAGCGAUCGAGGGAAGUUAGUACCGAAGUCUGAGAUGGAAGAUGGCGAGAAAAGCUGUGUGUAUUUCUGAGGUGCCCGUACCGCAAACCGACACAGGUAGGUAGGAAGAAGAUUCUAAGGCCAACGGGAGAAGGGUUGUUAAGGAACUCGGCAAAUUGACCCCGUAACUUCGGGAGAAGGGGUGCUCCAGAGAUGGAGCCGCAGAGAAUCGGCCCAAGCAACUGUUUACCAAAAACACAGGUUUGUGCUAAAUCGAAAGAUGACGUAUACGAGCUGACGCCUGCCCGGUGCUGGAAGGUUAAAAGGAGAUGUGCAAGCAUUGAAUUGAAGCCCCAGUGAACGGCGGCCGUAACUAUAACGGUCCUAAGGUAGCGAAAUUCCUUGUCAGGUAAG